rnacentral:misc_RNA from 1 species
CAACCCUCAGGCCCUGCCUGGUGAUGGGGAUCCCGCGGUCCAACGCCGCGGGGCCCUGAAAAGCAGCGGCGGGCUCUGCUGAAACCCGAGCGUAGUAAUCUCUCUCGCUUAGGGGACCGGCGGGCGCCCUGCCCCCACACCUUUUAUUUUCCAAU